ensembl:lncRNA
CAUUAACAGGCACUAAUCGUACAGCAGAACUCAGAUUGGUUUUUUAGAAACUCAAUCUCAGUUGUCCAUCAGAGUACUUCUAGUAUUAAACCUUCUUAGUAUAUAAAAAAGAAAUCCUUGCCCAUGCUACCAUUUCCUGAUUGAGAUGACCUAAAAAACAUCUGUUGCUUAUCCAUGCCUUGGGUACAGAGCAGUGUAGGUAAAAGCUUCCCUGCUGAUGUGCCCAGCCUGGUUCAUAAGGAUAUUCUUUGAAGGAUGGCCCAACCUGAAGAGGUACCUGGACAGCUGCACCAUAGCCUAACAAGAAUGAGAACUGAACAUGAAAGCAGGCAAGUCACCAUUUGGGCACCAAGAAGAUGCCCAGUUCUGAUAAGGGCUCCAGGUGAAAAAAUAAUUGUGAAAAGACCUCUGCACAGCCACAAUUUCAAAAGACAGUAUUUUUUUUGCCUUAAUUUACACCGUAGAAUCUAAAUUUGGCGCUUGAAGUACCUUCAGCAACUUCUAAUGCAGAUUCACUCCUAAAUUUUAGGAGACAGAAAAUGAUGUUUUAUCACAGAUUAGUUGGUAGUUUCCCAUCUCCUGUUUUAAAGUCUGUCAAUCUGACCGUUUUUUUAUUAAUUUAUUCAGUAGCUAUGGUGACAGUUCAUCUCUGUCAAUCAGCAGCAAAGGUCUAAGCCAUACCUCUCUGAAAACAAUUCCAGAAAUACAAUGUUCUGUAGAUAAAACAAUUAUGAGACUGGAUUAACAUUAACAAAAUUAAUAUGUAUUCUCACAGUGAGAUUAUGCUCAUCUCCCUAUGACAUUUAUUUUUGCCAUCGCACAAGUGCACACAGUAAGAAAAUGAAACCAUCUGCACUGAGCAUUAGGAUCACACUACCCAAACCCAAGGAGAGAAGACUGAUGCUGGGAAAACAGGACAAAACAGAUGAAAUUUUAAAUGAUUUUUUCCUCUACUAAUAUUUCAUGUAAGUACAUAAUAAUGGAAUGCCUGUAACUUUUACAAAAGGGUGGGAUAGGAUUACAAAACUAGAUUAGUGCAAAUUCUAGUUAAAAAUCUUUUCAUGUCAUGUACUAAAAGUCUCCAUUUCAGAGUGAGCCUGAACUGAUGGUUCUAUGCUUAUUUCUAGAGAAACUGGUAGCCCCACUAAAGGCAGAGCUUCAGUCUGAAAGUUACAUCCUCAUGGUGUGGAUUCAAAAGUCGCUCUUCUUCCUGACACCUCAUGUCAAUAGAAUACUAUCCAUUCUUCUUACUCCAUUAUUUUAGACAGGGACAAGGUACAUACAUUUAAGUUUGCCAUUUUAAUAUUCCCUCAACAUAAGCUCCUUCACAAGCAAACUUUUAUUUCUUUACUUAUUCUGAAACUGUAUGUUCAGAUGAUACUGUGAUCAUUAAUUCCUACACGUCUUUUUUCUUUUUUUUAUUAGGCUGGUCUCCUUCACAGGAUUAGUUCCCAAAUAGCCUCUGACUACAUGAAUUGCUCCACAAAUUGUCUCACAGAGCCAUACAGUGUUAUCAUCAAAAAAUAUAUAUUUAAUAAUACAGCUAUCACAAUCAAAAUCUCGAGAAUUAAAAUCCUCCAUGAUCAAAGUUCUGGCUCUCUUGCAGACUUUUUUUCUUUUAAAUCAGCAAUACAUGUUGUUAUCUGCUUUUCUUAACUGCCCUCAAGGGUUACAAUAACUGGAUUAUUUUAUUGUUCUUAUCUAUUAAAGCUUUCCAGUGUACCAGACAAAAUACUUAACUAGCUCUCUGUUGGCAGCCCAAUACCAUCUCGCAUCGAUUGAACCAAAAGAUUCCUUUGCCUUAUCUUGUUCAGUGUAGACCAGAUUUCCUGCUGCUCACUGCUAAAAAUAUUUAGUGAUUUUACUUCCCAAGGAAGCUCUGAUUUCUGUUCAGUAGACUGUACUGGGUAUGGUCUAGGGAAAUUUUUUUUCUAUGUUUGUUGUUUUUAUCCUUUGUCUUCCAAUUCCCAUUCGUUCUGACAAGUUAAGUAUUAUUGGGACCUACAGUUGGACUCUCUCUUCCUUCACCUCCUCUUUCUUUUCGCAUCUAGCCUAGAAGUGUUUGCUGCCUACUUUAAAUAAAUAGUUAAUGUACAUUCUCCUCACAGGUCUCCUAAGCAUCUUUGAACAGCAGUUCUACCAGUGUCACUGUUCCACAUGCAUGCAAAAUCACUCAGAAAUCUGACUGUAAACCUGUAUUAGCAGCAGUUCCUAUCACAGCAGGAACAUCUUCACGCUGUGUUACCAGAGAAAGAACUAAGGAUAAAGACAGAUACGAAGCUAAUAUGUCUGAGAAGGUGAUAAAGCACUGCAAGGCAGCUCUAUUAAUAACUGCAUAUAUCUGAGUCAGAUAGAGGGAAAUAAGAGGGCCACAACUGUUACAGGAUACAUCCAACCUUUUUUCCCCUUACCUAACAAAUGAAGGAAUUACUAUGCCAUGAACUGACACAAUACGAAUAGGGGUAUUUCCUACUGAUACUUCAGUUGAGAACACUUUUCAUUAUCACCAACUUUAACAUACCAGCAAAAGAUCAAC